rnacentral:rRNA from 1 species
GUUGUAUAGUCAAGUAAUUAAGUGCAUGUGGUGGAUGCCUUGGCAGUCAGAGGCGAUGAAAGACGUGAUAGCCUGCGAAAAGCUCCGGGGAGGCGGCAAAUAUCCUUUGAUCCGGAGAUGUCUGAAUGGGGGAACCCACCUACUUUAAGGUAGGUAUUGCAACAUGAAUACAUAGUGUUGCAAGGCGAACGAGGGGAAGUGAAACAUCUCAGUACCCUUAGGAAAAGAAAUCAAUUGAGAUUCCCUCAGUAGCGGCGAGCGAACGGGGAUCAGCCCAUUAAGUUAUGUGUGUUUUAGUGGAACGCUCUGGGAAGUGCGAACGUAGAGGGUGAUAUUCCCGUACACGAAAGGGCACACAUAAUGAUGACGAGUAGGGCGAGGCACGUGAAACCUUGUCUGAAUAUGGGGGGACCAUCCUCCAAGGCUAAAUACUCCUGACUGACCGAUAGUGAACCAGUACCGUGAGGGAAAGGCGAAAAGAACCCCUGUGAGGGGAGUGAAAUAGAUCCUGAAACCGCAUGCAUACAAGCAGUGGGAGCACCUUCGUGGUGUGACUGCGUACCUUUUGUAUAAUGGGUCAGCGACUUAUAUUCAGUAGCAAGGUUAACCGUAUAGGGGAGCCGUAGAGAAAUCGAGUCUUAAUAGGGCGUUUAGUUGCUGGGUAUAGACCCGAAACCAGGCGAUCUAUCCAUGAGCAGGUUGAAGGUUGGGUAACACUAACUGGAGGACCGAACCCACUGUCGUUGAAAAGCCAGGGGAUGACUUGUGGAUAGGGGUGAAAGGCUAAUCAAGCCUGGUGAUAGCUGGUUCUCCCCGAAAGCUAUUUAGGUAGCGCCUCGGACGAAUACCAUAGGGGGUAGAGCACUGUUUCGGCUAGGGGGUCAUCCCGACUUACCAAACCGAUGCAAACUCCGAAUACCUAUGAGUACUAUCCGGGAGACAGACUGCGGGUGCUAACGUCCGUAGUCAAGAGGAAAACAAUCCAGACCGCCAGCUAAGGCCCCAAAAUCAUAGUUAAGUGGGAAACGAUGUGGGAAGGCAUAGACAGCUAGGAGGUUGGCUUANNNNNNNNNNNNNNNNNNNNNNNNNNNNNNNNNNGAAGCAGCCACCCUUUAAAGAAAGCGUAAUAGCUCACUAGUCGAGUCGGCCUGCGCGGAAGAUGUAACGGGGCUAAAACUAUGUGCCGAAGCUGCGGAUGUAUACUUUGUAUACGUGGUAGGGGAGCGUUCUGUAAGCCGAUGAAGGUGUGUUGAGAAGCNNNAUGCUGGAGGUAUCAGAAGUGCGAAUGCUGACGUGAGUAACGACAAAACGGGUGAAAAACCCGUUCGCCGAAAGACCAAGGGUUCCAGUCCAACGUUAAUCGGGGCUGGGUGAGUCGACCCCUAAGGCGAGGCCGAAAGGCGUAGUCGAUGGGAAAAUGGUUAAUAUUCCAUUACUUCUGUGUAAUGCGAUGAGAGGACGGAGAAGGCUAAAUCAGCCUGGCGUUGGUUGUCCAGGUGAAAGGAUGUAGGCAUGUAUCUUAGGCAAAUCCGGGGUACUCUAUGCUGAGAUCUGAUAGCAAGCUGUACUUGUACAGCGAAGUGGUUGAUGCCAUGCUUCCAGGAAAAGUCUCUAAGCUUCAGUUACACAGGAAUCGUACCCGAAACCGACACAGGUGGUCAGGUCGAGUAGACCAAGGCGCUUGAGAGAACUCUGCUGAAGGAACUAGGCAAAAUGGUACCGUAACUUCGGGAGAAGGUACGCUGUUGUUGGUGAUGGAACUCGCUUCCUGAGCUGACGACAGCCGCAGAAACCAGGCCGCUGCAACUGUUUAUUAAAAACAUAGCACUCUGCAAACACGAAAGUGGACGUAUAGGGUGUGAUGCCUGCCCGGUGCUGGAAGGUUAAUUGAUGGGGUUAGCGUAAGCGAAGCUCUUGAUCGAAGCCCCAGUAAACGGCGGCCGUAACUAUAACGGUCCUAAGGUAGCGAAAUUCCUUGUCGGGUAAGUUCCGACCUGCACGAAUGGCAUAAUGAUGGCGGCGCUGUCUCCAGCAGAGGCUCAGUGAAAUCGAAAUCGCUGUGAAGAUGCAGUGUACCCGCGGCUAGACGGAAAGACCCCGUGAACCUUUACUGCAGCUUGACACUGAACUUUGACCUUACUUGUGUAGGAUAGGUGGGAGGCUUUGAAGCUGGAACGCUAGUUCCAGUGGAGCCGUCCUUGAAAUACCACCCUGGUAAUGUUGAGGUUCUAACUCUGUCCCGUGAUCCGGGACGAGGACCGUGUCUGGUGGGUAGUUUGACUGGGGCGGUCUCCUCCUAAAGAGUAACGGAGGAGUACGAAGGUGCGCUCAGCGUGGUCGGAAAUCACGCGUAGAGUAUAAAGGCAAAAGCGCGCUUAACUGCGAGACCCACAAGUCGAGCAGGUACGAAAGUAGGUCUUAGUGAUCCGGUGGUUCUGUAUGGAAGGGCCAUCGCUCAACGGAUAAAAGGUACUCUGGGGAUAACAGGCUGAUACCGCCCAAGAGUUCAUAUCGACGGCGGUGUUUGGCACCUCGAUGUCGGCUCAUCUCAUCCUGGGGCUGAAGCAGGUCCCAAGGGUAUGGCUGUUCGCCAUUUAAAGAGGUACGCGAGCUGGGUUUAGAACGUCGUGAGACAGUUCGGUCCCUAUCUACCGUGGGCGCUGGAAAUUUGAGAGGAUCUGCUCCUAGUACGAGAGGACCAGAGUGGACGAACCUCUGGUGUACCGGUUGUGACGCCAGUCGCAUCGCCGGGUAGCUAUGUUCGGAAGGGAUAACCGCUGAAAGCAUCUAAGCGGGAAGCCUACCUCAAGAUAAGAUUUCCCUAGGACUUUAUGUCCUCUAAAGAGCCGUUCGAGACUAGGACGUUGAUAGGUUGGAUGUGGAAGCAUAGUGAUAUGUGAAGCUGACCAAUACUAAUUGCUCGUGAGGCUUGACUAUACAACACCCAAGCAGUUG